rnacentral:rRNA from 1 species
GACGUACGCUGGCGGCGUGCUUAACACAUGCAAGUCGAACGGAAAGGCCCUGCUUUUGUGGGGUGCUCGAGUGGCGAACGGGUGAGUAGCACGUGAGUAACCUGCCCUUGACUUUGGGAUAACUUCAGGAAACUGGGGCUAAUACCGGAUAGGAGCUCCUGCUGCAUGGUGGGGGUUGGAAAGUUUCGGCGGUUGGGGACGGACUCGCGGCUUAUCAGCUUGUUGGUGGGGUAGUGGCUUACCAAGGCUUUGACGGGUAGCCGGCCUGAGAGGGUGACCGGCCACAUUGGGACUGAGAUACGGCCCAGACUCCUACGGGAGGCAGCAGUGGGGAAUAUUGCACAAUGGGCGGAAGCCUGAUGCAGCAACGCCGCGUGCGGGAUGACGGCCUUCGGGUUGUAAACCGCUUUCGCCUGUGACGAAGCGUGAGUGACGGUAAUGGGUAAAGAAGCACCGGCUAACUACGUG